AUUGAACGCUGGCGGCAGGCCUAACACAUGCAAGUCGAGCGGAUGAAGGGAGCUUGCUCCUGGAUUCAGCGGCGGACGGGUGAGUAAUGCCUAGGAAUCUGCCUGGUAGUGGGGGAUAACGUCCGGAAACGGGCGCUAAUACCGCAUUCGUCCUGAGGGAGAAAGGGGGGGAUCAUCGGACCUUACGCUAUCAGAUGAGCCUAGGUCGGAUUAGCUAGUUGGUGGGGUAAAGGCCUACCAAGGCGACGAUCCGUAACUGGUCUGAGAGGAUGAUCAGUCACACUGGAACUGAGACACGGUCCAGACUCCUACGGGAGGCAGCAGUGGGGAAUAUUGGACAAUGGGCGAAAGCCUGAUCCAGCCAUGCCGCGUGUGUGAAGAAGGUCUUCGGAUUGUAAAGCACUUUAAGUUGGGAGGAAGGGCAGUAAGUUAAUACCUUGCUGUUUUGACGUUACCAAAAGAAUAAGCACCGGCUAACUUCGUG
rnacentral:rRNA from 1 species